AUACGGAGGGUGCAAGCGUUAAUCGGAAUUACUGGGCGUAAGGCGCAUGUAGGCUGUACGGCAAGUUGGAGGUGAAAUCCCACGGCUCAACCGUGGAACUGCCUUCAAAACUACCGAACUGGAGUGCGAGAGAGGAUAGCGGAAUUCCAGGUGUAGGAGUGAAAUCCGUAGAUAUCUGGAAGAACAUCAGUGGCGAAGGCGGCUAUCUGGCUCGUAACUGACGCUGAGAUGCGAAAGCGUGGGUAGC
rnacentral:rRNA from 1 species